CAACUCUUGAACUACCUCCUCCUCCUCCCUCUCUCCUCUCUCAACCUCUCUAUCUCACUCAGAUCCUCCGAUCUCUGGGAUCGUUUGUCGUGGCUUAACAGGUUUCAAUUUUUUUGAUAACCUUUAUGACGAUGUCCAUUGGUCUUCGGCAAUUGACACGGCGCUUCUCCAUCGUAGUCGUUAAUAUAUUCUCACACCGCAGUCUUCCCUCAGCCCUCUCUCUCAACCUCUUAGUCCCGUUAAUUGCCUCUUGCACCAUCCAAUGACCCCACCGAAACCCAGGCGAAAAACCCCCAAAUUUUACCCAUAAACCAAACUCAGACCGCUGCCUCCUCCAGCUCAAAGGCGAAAGGGGCACAAGUGUUGUACAUGACAAUUGACAUUAGGUACAGUUUGUCUUAAUAUCUUGGAAAAAUUUGGUGUAGAGGAAUGGAAAAAGGCUUGAAGAUGAGCUGCCCCUUGAAGCAAAUGGAGACUACACCAAGUCAAGGAGGAGGAGCUUAAUUAAUGGCCAUGGGCUGAAGCUUUAUAGGCUGUUCUGUUUGAAGACCACAGCUAGGAAGAUCGAGCAAGUUGGGUGACUUGGUGCUAAAAGAUUGUAUGUUCUUGCAAAGUUCUUACCAAGAGGAAAGCCAAUACUCAGUUGAGUGAUUGUGGCAAAUCCAGUCAAGCAAGGAGAAACUCAAUGGCGAAUCAAGUCAAGCAAGGAGGAGCUGAAUGGCAGUUAAUGGUGAAUAGCAAGGUGGAGCUUAAUGAAAUUCUGUAUUUUUUCUCUUUUCCAAGUAAGUUUUUGGUUUUUAAUAUCAUAACUGUAAUAUCCUUGCUAAAAAGGUUGACCACUUGCAAUUCUUGGUCUAUUUUCAGGAUGAAAAUACUAAUGUAAUAGUCAUGAGGAUAGGUCCACCACUUUCAACACUUUCUGUAUUUUCAUUAUGAAAAGAUUAAUGGAAUUAUUGUGUA